CUUUGGGACGCCAAGGUCAGCUCUAACAUUAUUACUUUAGCUUUUUGAGUCCAGGUUCCUCAUCUACAAAAGAGGGCCGAGAGCACUACCUAUCUUGCAGGGUCAUCGAGACAUGUGCAAAGUGCCUGACUGUGCCUGGAGCUAAGUAGGUGCUCAAUAAAUACCAGCCCCCUCUCCCACCCUCCCCCACUGGUUGGGAAAGCGGCAGAGCCAUCCGAGCAGGAGGAAGGGGUGAGCGCACUGCCCCAGGACGCCCCCCUGCAGGGUCACUGCCUGAGACCCGCAUGAGCACAGCCCAGGUGGCGCUGGUUGGGAAGGGGGGCGCAGGGGUGAAGUUUAAGGAGAUGCAUGACCUCGACUGUCCUCCGCAGCCUGAUUUAUGGGGCGGAGCCGUCUCCCGGAUGAGAUGGAGACGCUGCGAGCGAAAGAGCUGUAGAAAACCUUAAUCCCCAAAUGGCAGAAAGAGAUACUCUCGGGUCCCGUGUGUGUUUGAUCAAAUCCAUCAGGUGGGGCACGAUCUUCCCCUCGCGGAAUCCAAUCGGUUGUCAGGCUUCAGCGGGUCUUUCUCAACCGAGGAUGAAAUAUGUUCCCCACUUAGCCGACAAAAUCCUUGGCUGAUUUUGCUCAGCAAGAAAGAAUCUGGCCUCGGAGCGCUAGAGUCCUGCCAGUGAACCGAGGCUGGCAUUUAGGGGGUAGGAGGCCAGGGGAAAGAAUCAGGCGGAGAAGAGCCCCCCAAGAGAAAAAAUAUACCCAAAGCCUUGGGCUGCUCAAGGCUUUGGGUAGAGCCUCGAUGGAAGAAUUUCCUAAGCGCCAGGUUUCGGGGAGGCCAGGGCGGAAGAGCGGGAGGAGAAGUCGCUGUCUGUCUGUCUGCUCCCGUGAGGAUGCUGGUUGGCUGGUCUGAUGGGGACCUGGGAGCAAGAGGAAGCUGCCCUUUUGGCAGAGCGGACUCUGCUCUGUGGCCUUACUGGGCCCGUGCUCCUGGCUGCGCAGGAGCCAGAAAUGCUCAACAUCCAGGGAGGAUAAUGGGAAUCCCAUAAGCGAGAGGUGGCGGGGAUUCAGGGCUCUGACGGAACAGUGGCCUGGGGGGAGAAAUUCCGACUUCCUGAUCCUCAGACCUGCCUCUCUGCUCACCAAGCCUCUCCGACCCGCUUCUCUGAAACAAUUCCUCCCCUCCAUCCUUAGUGGACACUUUCUCAAGAGAGGACAGAGUUGGCAAUUUAGAGCCUCCAUGCAGAAAAAAAAAAAAGAGUGACACCUUCUCAACGUCUAGACGCAGGGUCCCUUUGCUGUGCUGACACCCUGAGCUCCAGUGUGCGUAGUAGGUCUGCCUGUGGUUGGCCUAGAACCUUCCAAACGUGGCACGUGCUACUCUGGGAUGUCCCAUCGCAUUUGCUGCUUGGUAAACACGAAUUCGCCCCAAGAGCCAGGUAAAGUGUCACCUCCACGGAGAAGCCAGGUACAGCUUCCUGUUUCCUCCCACGGCGAUUUGUGCCUCCUUUACUUUAGCUGUAGAAAUGGCAUUCUUAGUUGUCGCCCUUCCCGCCAAAACAGGGGUGCUGAAUCGUGUACCCCCCCCAAAUUCACAUGUUGAAGCCCUGAACUACUGGUGCUUCAAAAUGUGACUGUAUUGGAGAUGGGCCUCUGAGGAGGUAAUUAAGCGAAAACGAGGUUAUGGGAACGAGCCCUAAUUCAAUGUGACUCAUGUCCUCCAGCAGCAAAGACAUCUGGACGCAGGCAGGUGCAGAGGGAAGAUGAUAUGGAGACCCCGGGGGAAAAUCGCCACCUACAAGCCAAGCAGAGAGCCCUCAGGAGGAACCAAGCCUGCCGACACCUUGAUCUCGAACUUGCAGGCCAGAACUGUAGAAAAUGCAUUUCUGUUGUUCAAGCCCCCGCAGUCACAGCAGCCCAAGCCGGCUAAUGCAGGUUUGACCUCAUCAUCCACAUUUUACAAGAGAGGAAAAUGAAGCCCAGGGUUCCAGUGACUUGCUCAAGAUCACACAGCCACAAAUCUCAGAGCAAACCUUGAAAACCCAAAGUGGCUUCUUCCAGCACCCCUGCAUUUCCAAUGCAUCCUGCCAACUCCCAGUACCUGCAGGCAAACACACAUGUGGAUGCAUCUGAUGCACGCAAUGCAAUGUUUCCUCGGUGACAACGGAUGCUUUGGGACUAAAACAUGGCAGGAGGCAUUCACAAGUAAAACAAGCACAGAAGCCCACAUGCUGCAUGACUUAUUUGUUGUCCAGUGAUGCUAGCAUGGUCCUUAAGAGGCACUUUGAGUACUGGAGGCCGCUGAGAUACGGAGUAUUUCAAACCAACGCCAUGACCCCGAUCUGUACGCCAAUCCUGCGACAGCGCUAGCAGCACAGAGAUGCCAAAUGUCGCUUCUCUGAUUUGCCACCUUGCGAGAACCCAGAGCCAGCCAGAUGUGGGGGGCUCAUCUCUUGGGUUAUUGUUGCUGUAAGUAGAGUCUUAGGGCAAGCAGAAAUCGCUGAGCCAGCAACCCCUGGAUGGGGUGGACCUUGGAAGGACCAGAAUUCUUUCCCUUUCUCUUGAAAGAUGCUGGUGUAACGAAAAGCGACUGGGCAGCGUAUCUAUCAGAAGACCUGGCUCACAGGCACCAGACUGAGCCUUAACUUUAAGGCUCAGUGACCUUGGGGUAGUGACCAGACCUCUCUUCUCCUCACCCUUCUCAUCUGCGAAAUGGGAACAAACACCAUCACCUUUCGGGUGCUGGUUUUCAGUUGGCAAAGUGACAACCCCUUAUUGGUUUGGAGGGGCACAGACCUUCCACUGACUUUUGGAUGGAGAUGCGAUUAAACCCAACGUUGUUAAAAGUCUGCUAAAGGCCCUGCAAGUAAGCAUUGGCAGAAAUGAGCAGAAGAGUCCAGGUUUUCAAACUCCCACUCCAAUAUCCUUUCCAAUGCUUGAAGAAUAACCAUGCCUGUAGUUGCCUUGCCCGCCAAGCCUGUGUUGAGUUUCAAACGUACAUGCCAGCAGCUGAACAGGACAAAGCUAUGCCACGUCCAAGGUUUUUGCACCAGACAGAGUUGUACAGAGGCAGAAGAGAGACUAAGAACGGACUUUGGAACCUCACUGCCUUGGUUCAAAUUUAGGCUCCAUGAAUGACUAGCUGUGU